UUUUUUUUUUUUUUUUUUUUCUUUUUUUAGUUUCUUGUGGUUUAAAGUCAAGUUUUUGAUGCAAGAUCUUUCUUCUCCUUUAAUAUAGAAAUUUACCAUUAUAAACUUCCCUUUUAGUAUUGUUUUUGCUGCAUCCAAAAACUUUGCUAUGCUGUAUUUUCAUUUUCAUUUGUCUCAAGUGAGUUCUAAUUUCUCUUGUGAAUUAUUCUAUGAUGCUCUUUGUUGUUCAAGAGUGUGUUUUUUAAUUUUCACAUAUUUAUGAAUUUUCCAGUUACUUUCUGCUAUUGAAUUCUAGUUUCAUUCUGUUGUGGCUGAAAAAGGUACUUGAUAAGAUUUCAAUCUUCCUAAAUUUGUUAAGACUUCAUUUGUGGCCUAACAUGGGAUCCUUCUUAGAGAAUGCUCUCUUUCCACUUGAGAAGAAUGUGUGUUCUGCUAGUGUUGGGUGGGAGUGUUCUGUAUAUGUCUGCUAGAUCUAAUUGAUCUAAAAUAUUGUUCAGGUACUUCCUUAUUGAGCUUCUGCUUAGUUGAUCUAUUCAUUAUUAAAAGUGAGGUAGUUGGUGUCACUGCUAUGGCUUAGGUUUGAUUCCUGGCCUGGAACUUCUACAUUCUUCUGCCAUUGUUUCCCCUAAUACCCCCCCCCAAAAAAAAAAUGAGGUAGUGAAAUCUCUAGUAAUAUUGCAUUACUGUUUAUUUCUUUCUUUAAUUCUGCCAGUGCUUGCUUUGUGUAUUUGGGCACUCUGCUGUUAGGUGCAUAUAUAUUUAUAAUUGCUAUAUCUUGAUAAAUUGGCCCUUUUAUCAUUCUAUAAUGUCCCUUCUUGUUUCUUGUGAGUUUUGACUUAAAUUCUAUUUGAUCUAAAUAUGGUCACUCCUACUCUCUUUUGGUUACUAUUUUCAUGGAAUAUCUUUUUCCAUCCUUUCACUUUCAGCCCAAGUGAGUCUCUUGUAAACAAUAUAAUUGCAUGUUGUGUUUUAAUCCAUUCAUCCAUUCUCUUUAUUUUUUAAAAAAUUUUUUAAAAACUUUUUGUCUUUUUUUCUUUUUAAGGCUGUACCCUUGGCAUAUGGAGGAUCCCAGGCUAGGGGUCUAAUCAAGCUGAAGCCAAAGGCCUACGCUAGAGCCACAACUAUGUCAGAUCCAAGCC
rnacentral:lncRNA from 1 species